UGGGGAAUUUUCCGCAAUGGGCGAAAGCCUGGCGGAGCAAUGCCGCGUGAAGGUAGAAGGCCUACGGGUCAUGAACUUCUUUUCCCGGAGAAGAAGCAAUGACGGUAUCCGGGGAAUAAGCAUCGGCUAACUCUGUGCCAGCAGCCGCGGUAAGACAGAGGAUGCAAGCGUUAUCCGGAAUGAUUGGGCGUAAAGCGUCUGUAGGUGGCUUUUUAAGUUCGCCGUCAAAUCCCAGGGCUCAACCCUGGACAGGCGGUGGAAACUACCAAGCUGGAGUACGGUAGGGGCAGAGGGAAUUUCCGGUGGAGCGGUGAAAUGCGUAGAGAUCAGGAAGAACACCAACGGCGAAAGCACUCUGCUGGGCCGACACCGACACUGAGAGACGAAAGCUAGGGGAGCGAAUGG
rnacentral:rRNA from 1 species